rnacentral:rRNA from 1 species
GCGGAUGGGUGAGUAACGCGUGAGUGACCUGCCCAGCAGUGGGGAAUAACAGUGAGAAAUCAUUGCUAAUACCGCAUAGCUUACAAGUGCUCCAUGGUACCUGUAAGAAAGACGGCCUUCGUGCUGUCGCUGUUGGAUGGACUCGCGUCUGAUUAGCCAGUUGGUGGGGUAACGGCCUACCAAAGCAAUGAUCAGUAGCCGGCCUGAGAGGGUGAACGGCCACAUUGGGACUGAGACACGGCCCAAACUCC